GUGCAGCAGUCGAGAAUUUUCCGCAAUGGGCGAAAGCCUGACGGAGCGACGCCGCGUGGAGGAUGAAGGCCUUCGGGUCGUAAACUCCUGUCAGCCCGGAAGAAAGUCUGCUUAAUUGUAGAUUGACAGUACGGGCAGAGGAAGCUCCGGCUAACUCCGUGCCAGCAGCCGCGGUAAUACGGAGGGAGCAAGCGUUGUUCGGAUUUAUUGGGCGUAAAGGGCACGUAGGUGGCUUUGCAAGUCGGGUGUGAAAGCCCACUGCUUAACGGUGGAACGGCAUUCGAAACUGCAAGGCUUGAGUUCAGGGGAAGAAAGCGGAAUUCUCGGUGUAGCGGUGAAAUGCGUAGAUAUCGAGAAGAACACCAGCGGCGAAGGCGGCUUUCUAUCCUGAAACUGACGCUGAGGUGCGGAAGCCAGGGGAGCGAACGGGAUUAGAUACCCCCGUAGUCC
rnacentral:rRNA from 1 species